CUGCUUCACGGCAGCGCCUCCAAUCAGGGUCAGUGUCAAGCUUUGCCUCCUGGAGAUUGGAUAGCAAGUCCAGAAAUAUGCUCAUUAGGUCGUCCAGGGGCAGGGUUAGGGAGUGGUCAGUUCUUAAAGGAACAUGCAAUUUUUGUACUUAGUGCACAGGCGUUUUACCCAGAAUUCACAGCGAGAAGGGGGAGGGCCUACUGAAGGGUGUGCUUUUAGAUCUGCGGCUGUCACUAACUAAGGGUCGGGAGCGUCCUGUCUGUUAACAGUCAGUGUCCUGUAACACCAAAUAGCCGCAGGAGAGGACGUACAUCUUGAUGUCUGGAAUGUGUACGGUAACUGAGGAGUCGGUAGAGAUAGUUCUGUUCAUACGAGGGAAAUUCUACAGAAGUCAGUGUCUUCUUCUAACAGGGAAAGAGAGUUUGUUCACCGGGGCCCAUUCAUGGGCUACUGCCAGAGACGUGGGUUUUAGGGCCGGGGUGCGAGGACUCCAUCAAGGCUCACUUUAUCCACACCAUUCCGCCUGACUUCCCGAGCAGCAGCAGCGGCUGCCCCUUCGCCACAUCCCCGAUGGAGGCAGCUUUGUGGAUCUUCGCCAGGUCCUUGACCCGGAGGAGGGAUCGUGCUCUGGGGCCCAAAGCUCGGACCCAAAGCUCGGACCCAAAGCUCGGACCCCGCUCUCCCUCCGCGGGGGUAAGGAGGCUCGAGAGGGAGGCAGCUCUCUCUUGCUGCCCAAGCUGAAAACCAUUUUCAUUUUGCCAGCGGGCUUCAGAGAGGGUCUGCAGAGCUCGCAAGGGGUUCUCCCUUGGCCUCUCAGCUUCUCCAGGCCCUCGCCUACGCUCUAGAAAACUUCCACGGCCGGAGGCUGGAGGUUGAGAGACCCCAGAGCACACAAGUGUAAAAGAUUCAACCCUAGAGAGGCUUGUAGCCCUGGAAAGCCGCGAGGGGGCCUGAACUGCGCAUGCGUCUGUCAGAUCCGCGGGUCCCGCGCAUGGGCCCAAAGAUGCUAUAUAUUAGGAGGGACAUUAAUCAGUUCAGACACUAGAGAUAUGGAUGAACUAAGAAUGAUAGAGAAGACAAAGGGAAGGCAUGAUGUCUGUUUUCAACUAUGUGAAGGGCCAUUGUGAAGACUUGGGUAUCUGUAGAAGAAACUGCUAAAAUCAGUGAUGAGAGGAGCCUGGUUUUGACUUGUAUAAGGAAAAACAAAUUUUAUAGAAACGAAAUGGACUUCUUGUGAGACAAUUCCCUUCAAGUAGAUUCUUACUGUGGCGCAAAAACAAUUCUUACAUUGAUUGCAAGGCUGGACUCCAUGAUUGUUAAGGUCCCUUCCAACAACAGAUAUUUUGAUUCUCUAUAUUAGUUUAUAUCAAACUGUUGCUGGCUUCCAUUAGACUAGAUCUUCCAAGUUGGCUUUGUUUUUAACAUCUAAUGUAGAGCAGAAGCUCGAAGUAUUGUGUUUAUUGAAUUUAGUUCAACCCUCAAAGGAUAAGGAAAUUUCUGCAUAGGGGAAGAGGACAAGUUAUUUUGUAACUGGCCUUGGCUCCUACUUCCCCCCCUUUCUCUCCUUUGCUUUUUCUCCAUUCAUGAUGUGAUGUGUAUUCUCUGCAUUACUAGCGUUCAUACUGUUUAUUCGGCUCCAGAAUCAGUGGACUUGAGAAUACAGAAACGAUGCAUAUUCACCCUGAUGAACAUGUGCUGCUGCUUUUCCUUCUGUCAAAAUAAAUAAAAUAUAAGCUCA